rnacentral:rRNA from 1 species
CCUACGGGAGGUUGCAGUGGGGAAUAUUGGACAAUGGGGGCAACCCUGAUCCAGCCAUGCCGCGUGUGUGAAGAAGGCCCUCGGGUUGUAAAGCACUUUCAGUGAGGAAGAACGCCUGGUGGUUAAUACCCAUCAGGAAAGACAUCACUCACAGAAGAAGCACCGGCUAACUCCGUGCCAGCAGCCGCGGUAAUACGGAGGGUGCGAGCGUUAAUCGGAAUUACUGGGCGUAAAGCGCGCGUAGGUGGCUUGAUAAGCCGGUUGUGAAAGCCCCGGGCUCAACCUGGGAACGGCAUCCGGAACUGUCAAGCUAGAGUGCAGGAGAGGAAGGUAGAAUUCCCGGUGUAGCGGUGAAAUGCGUAGAGAUCGGGAGGAAUACCAGUGGCGAAGGCGGCCUUCUGGACUGACACUGACACUGAGGUGCGAAAGCGUGGGUAGCAAACAGGAUUAGAUACCCCAGUAGUC